rnacentral:rRNA from 1 species
UACGGAGGGUGCAAACGUUGCUCGGAAUUAUUGGGCGUAAAGCGCACGUAGGCGGUCUAGCAAGUCGGGUGUGAAAGCCCUCAGCUUAACUGAGGAAGUGCAUUCGAAACUACUAGGCUUGAGUACUGAAGAGGACGACGGAAUUCCCGGUGUAGAGGUGAAAUUCGUAGAUAUCGGGAGGAACACCAGUGGCGAAGGCGGUCGUCUGGGCAGAUACUGACGCUGAGGUGCGAAAAGCGUGGGGGAGCAAACAGG